rnacentral:lncRNA from 1 species
CUUCACUUCCUUUAUCACACUAUUGUUAGUAAAUGUUGGAGGGAGGAUGACGAAAACAAGAUACUCAUAACUACUGAUUGUAUGCUUUCGGAUAGAACCUUGUUGAUGAUGUACAGGCAUUGUUUCAAAUCCCCAAACACCGGAGAGAUAAGGAGUUAAUCCCUAGUCAACCACUUCGAGCCUAGAAGUAGGAGUUUCUUUCGGAUCUACAAACCCUUAUGCUUAACCUGGGGCAGGGUAGUGUUCAGUUGACUUGACUACACUUUCGAAUUACAAAGAUGAAAUAUCCCAUACAAGGAUCAACCACAUGACAUUCUUCGCACACAUCCUGAAGUGUCGAAGGAACCAUACAAAUCCAAAUUGUAUGUCGGUUGAUCUUCAAUGACCAAUGACUUGGCAGUCACGAUUUCAAAAACAAAAGUCAAAGAAAGAGCCCGCUAAGUCCAACACCCUGAAAAGAGACUUAGGCAAAAACAGGGGAAAUCCCGAUGGAUCAAAGCUUCAAACAAAGCGGUCCAUGCAAAAGUUAGGGAUCAAAACAAGAAUCAAAAGAGACAAUGAAAGUCUCCAAUAAAACAAAACAAGAUUCAGUGACCACCAUAACAAAAUCAAAGGGUCACUGACAUCCCAAAAAAAAAAAAACGAAAUAAGGUGGCUGCCAUUCCAAGAGACCUUGAAUCACCAUCUUUAUCCUUACACCUGCAAAAGACGAAUGUGUGUGAGUUAACUGAACGUAGGAUUGGAGAUCAUCAUGAAGAAGGGGUGGGUUAAAAUAAACUUUGAGCCUUAUAUCCUUUUGUUUCAAUAACCAUGAACCAAGCCACGUUACAACAUCCAAAAAACAAAAUAAGGUGGCUGCCAUUCCAAGAGACCUUGAAUCACCAUCUUUAUCCUUACACCUAUAUGUGUGAAUUGACUGAACGUAGGAUUGGAGAUCAUCAUGAAGAAGGGGUGGGUAAAAAUAAACUUUGAGCCUUAUAUCCUUUUAUUUCAAUAACCAUGAACCAAGCCACGUUACAACCCUCAAAAGACCUAAUUGAAGUAGGGUUUAUUCUGAAAGCAUACUACAGCAAGGUUGAGUAAACUGACUCCCAGAGAUUUGCUAAUAUUCUCUUCUCACUAUAUCACUCACACGCUAGCUAAAUCAGCACCGCGACUGGACUCAUGAUCCACUCGCCACACACUACCACAACACUCCAAAUGAAUGAUUGUUUUUCAAAACUUGCAUAACUAUUGCAUUAACAUCACCAUUUCUUGGAUAACAAUUCGUAAUUGUCAGUCAGUACUUGACAUCGAGAAAAUUCCCACAAGGGGCAAUUCAAGAGGCACUUGAUCGUUGGUGCUGACACGAACCAAGACCAUCCUAUGAAUCAGGGGCAUGUCAUCUUUUGAUCAUGUUGACCUAAGAAGUAGUCAGUAUAAGACAAAUCUCCAAGCAUCGGUCGAUCAGGGAGAAAAACACUUCAGUACUCGGCCCGUCUGGGGCAGGUCCCCCAAAGGCUAAUCAGAGGCAGACCAUAGCCAGAUUUGGACAUCAGAAAACAAACUCAGACCAUGUCAUGGGACAAUCACUCCUAAGGUUUCCUUUCAAGGAGAAUUCCUUUGAACACCCUACAAUCAGGGGCAAUACAAGUUGCAAGGGGCAAAUUCCCUUCAUAUCUUCAAGUCAGUCAAGCAGAUUGCAUCAGACAUUAGUGACUGCUUGAAUUCACCAUCAAGAUGUCAAGGGUUCAUACUAGNAACAGUUCUUAAUUGUUAGUCAGUACUUGACAUCGAGAAAAUUCCAACAAGGGGCAAUUCAAGAGGUACUUGGUCGUUGGUGCUGACACGAAUCAAGACCAUCAUGUGAAUCAGGGGCAUGGCAUCUUUUGAUCAUAUUGACCUAAGAAGUAGUCAACAUGAGACAAAUCUCCAAGCAUCAGUUGAUCAGGGAGGAAAAAUACUUUAGUACUCAGUACAGCUGGGGCAAGUCCUCAAAGGCUAAUCAGGGGCAGACCAUAGCCAGAUUUGGACAUCAGAAAACAAACUCAGACCAUGUCAUGGGAUAAUCACUCCUAAGGUUUCCUUUCAAGGAGAAUUCCUUUAAACACCCUACAAUCAGGGGCAAGACGAGUUGCAAGGGGAAAAUUCCCUUCAUAUUUUCAAGACAAUAAAGCAAAGUUCGUCAGACAUUAGUGACUGCUUGAAUUCACAACCAAAAUGUCAAAAGUUCAUACCGGUACAAUGUCACAUCUUGACAAGAACCCUUGGGACACAUCAAAAGCACAACCAACAUGCGUUGAUCACAUCGGUAUGCUCAGUUACAGGCUGGCCAUACAUCUCAGAAGAAGAAGUCGAGAUCUUCUCAAGGACAAAUACACAACAUAUCAGCAAGAGAUCAAACUUGGGGGCACCAAGAGUAUCCGCACCUAUUGCGUGUUCAUCACCUCAUCAACUACCGAGUGUCGGGAAGUCAGAUCCUUUCACCAAUCAAAAAUACAAUCCACAUUGACAAUUACCGGAAAAGUUAAAGCCCACCUUGGUGGCACCCACACAAAAACAAAUACAACCAACAUUGGUUUCCAGAAAUACAUCGCCUUUAAAAGGGGGGCCAAUCCCUAUCAAACCAAUCAUCCUUCGUAUUGAAACAUGCAUCACAUGCAUCACCUCAUUACAUAACGCAUACAUAUCAUUCAUGUACAUAACACAAAUCAAGUCCAAGGUUUAGUCGUAGGCAUCCAUGCCAAUCCUCAAUCGAGUCAUUGUCACUUUUUCUAAGAGAGUUCCUACCCUGUUAUCGGGCGUUCCCCAUUGAGUUACAUCCUUCAACAUUUUGUUGAUAAGAUGUUAUCCUCAGCUAAGUCAAACAUUGUUUCUUUAAACACCUACCUCGUUUCACGUUGAGAGUCCCUCAAUGAGUCGUUUCCUGUAACCUUUUGUUGACAGAAAUUACAUCUCUCUAGAGAAUAUUGGUUUUGCAACCUUUUGUUGUCGAUACCCUGAGCAAAUCUUAGCCAACAAUGUUCCAACACUACCCAGCAAAUCAGGUUUACUGAACUUUGAUAGUAGCCUUAUUCUUCCAAUAUUUUUCUCACUAUCAUCCUUUUGGUGAAAGUCCAUUAAGGAAUAAUAUUGAUCAUCGUCCUAUUUACGGUAACCGUUAUCCUUUUGGUAAUGGUAAAUCCUUGACAUUUGGAAAGUCCAACCCCACUGUCAUCCUUUUGGUGUCAGCAACAUUCGAAGUUAUUAUAACUUAUUAUCAUCCUUUUGGUGGUAAAAAGUUUCGAAGUUAUGAUCUCACCUUCAUCCUUUUGGUGAUGGUGAUUGUUGAUUCAUUAUCAUCCUUUUGGUGAUAACGAGUCAUGUUGUUUGUAGUACCCUCAUCCUUUUGGUGAUGGUGACUGUUGACUUAUUAUCAUCCUUUUGGUGAUAACAAGUUUUUGUCUUGAUCCUACCUUCAUCCUUUUGGUGAUGGUGAUCAAUUGCGUGUGUGCUUCUUAUCAUCCUUUUGGUGGUAACAAGUUGUGUCUUUUAACAAUACCUUCAUCCUUUUGGUGAUGGUGAUUGUAGUCUUGAUCCUACCUUCAUCCUUUUGGUGAUGGUGAUCAAUUGCGUGUGUGCUUCUUAUCAUCCUUUUGGUGGUAACAAGUUGUGUCUUUUAACAAUACCUUCAUCCUUUUGGUGAUGGUGAUUGUUGACUUCUUAUCAUCCUUUUGGUGAUAACAAGUUUGUGUCUUGAUCCUACCUUCAUCCUUUUGGUGAUGGUGAUCAAUGGCGUUGUGUGCGUAUUAUCAUCCUUUCGGUGAUAACAAGUUUUGUCGUUUGACAAAUACCUUCAUCCUUUUGGUGACGGUGACCAUUUGAGUUAUGGGCUCAUUAUCAUCCUUUUGGUGAUAACGAGCUUUGUUUUGAUCUUACCCUCAUCCUUUUGGUGAUGGCGAUCAUUGAGUCUGUUUCAACUUAUUAUCAUCCUUUUGGUGGUAACGAGUUUGUCGUUUGACAAUACCUUCAUCCUUUUGGUGAUGGUGAUUGUUGGCUUAUUAUCAUCCUUUUGGUGAUAACAAGUUUUGUCUUGAUCUUACCUUCAUCCUUUUAGUGAUGGUGAUCAAUGGCGUUGUGUGCGUAUUAUCAUCCUUUCGGUGAUAACAAGUUUUGUCUUGAUCUUACCUUCAUCCUUUUGGUGAUGGUGAUCAGUGGCGUUGUGUGCGUAUUAUCAUCCUUUUGGUGGUAACAAGUUUUGUUUCUAAUUAUACCUUCAUCCUUUUGGUGACGGUGAUUGUUGACUUAUUAUCAUCCUUUUGGUGAUAACAAGUUUUGUUGUAUUUUGUUUCUAAUUAUACCUUCAUCCUUUUGGUGACGGUGAUUGUUGACUUAUUAUCAUCCUUUUGGUGAUAACAAGUUUUGUUGUUGGAUCUUACCUUCAUCCUUUUGGUGACGGUGAUCUUUGAAGUUGAUGAGUCAAGUAUCAUCCUUUUUGGUGAUAGCCUUGAUAUUAUACUCUUGAUAAUGGGAAACUUUACCAGAAUAACCAUCAUCCUUUUGGUGACGGACACCAUCCUUUUGGUGAUGAAAAUCUUUGAAUUGUGUCUAACUUUCAUCCUUUUGGUGAUAGCGAGAUUUGCUGUUGAUCUUACCAUCAUCCUUUUGGUGAUGGCGAUCUUUGUUGUAGCCACUGUAACCAUUAUCCUUUUGGUGACGAUUACUUUUGAAGCUCGGUUUGUCCAUCAUCCUUUUGGUGAUGAUAAUCCUGACAAUCAUGGUGAAUUACUAUCAUCCUUUUGGUGAUAGCAGUUAAAUCCACUGUCAUCCUUUUGGUGUCAGAAAACCAGUCCCACAUUUGUCUUUACAACAAUAAUGACCUGGAAAAGAUUUGAAUGUUGGCUCGGGGGUUGGCACUGAUUUGGCAUUCUACCCUAUUACCUUGGUGCUGUUAGAAUCCAUUGCAUCUUCAUCUGCAUCUCUCCAUUGCAUUCCAAAGGACAAAAUUUGGAUCCUUUCGUAUUUAAUUACCUUCCACCGCGAAUGUAUGAUGACCAUUGUCAUUCUUACUUUCUAGUUCAAGAUAAUUAAAUAGGGGCAGCUGUCGUACCCCAAUUUUGUCCGGGCAUAUUUAAAUUUUCGCAGAAUCGAUUUCAUUUUUAUUUUUGCAUCAUAUACAUACCAUUACAUACAUUGCAUCAUGAGUAGCACCUAAAAUGUCAGUCGGGAUGGAUUUAUUUGAGAAUACAGAAAAAUCGGUUGAAUCGUUAAAAUUUGAGGAAAGACUGUAUUUUUAAUAAUGUGUUUUGUGCUGACAAUUUUAGUGUGACUGGUUUAAUUUUUUUCGAAUAAAAUUUAUACUCGAUUUUUAUUUUUUUUUAAUUGGUCAAAUAUUUUUUAGAAUGAUAUUAAAAAUUAGUUAGUUUUUUUAAAUAUUAGUUAGAUUUUUUAAAUAUUAGUUAGUUUAAAUAUUAAUUAGUUUUUAAAUUUUAGUUAUUUAAUUAAAUAUUAGUUGUUUUUUUAUUAGUUAGUUUAUUUAAAAUAUUAGUUAGAUUUUUUAAACAUUAUGUUAAUUAGUUCUUUAUUAAUGUUUUGUAUAUAAUUGAAUUAUUAGUGUAAUUAAAAAAAUGUGUUAGCAUUGGAUUCCAUGAUCUCUCUUCUCUCUUCCAUAAAAAACAAAAAAAUCUCUUUGUACCUCUCUCUCACGUUUUCCCUAACGUCUCCCUCAUUUCACUCUCCACUGUCUCUCCACUCACCUACCACUAUCACUCACCCACUAAAAUUUCCACUCACCUCUCCCUCCUCAGAUAAACGACAAAAAAAAGAAAAAAUAAAAUCCCUCCUAUCCUCUCUCACUGCUAUUCACUCUCUCACUCACGCUCCAUUCCCUCUCCCUCUCACUCAUAAAUAACACUUACUAUUCACUCCCUCUCUCGCCUCCACGGAAAAACCACACACAUCACCCUUUCGCUCACUCACAUCUCCUUCACCACCAUCAAAUUUCUUCACCGAAAUCACAACCCAAAAUUCCUUCCACCACCUCAAAAACAAUCGCCGAUAGUCACCGUCAACACCAUCGACCACCAAAUCUCACCGUCAAUCAUCUUCAAACCGCUUCAAACCCUCAGCUCGCCGCGAAUUCUACGGCGAAUCCACCGUCCACCGCCGAUUCCAUCUCUUCAUCUCACACAAAACCCUCCGCCUCCACUAAGUUCUUCAAUCACUACAAGAAACCCUCUAUCAUCACCGUAACCGAAGCCGCCGGUGACUCUUUGAAGCUUUAGAGCCAUAGGUAUGUCAAGCGAUGAUGUAUUUCAAGUUGUUGCUGCGGUUACAUUGUGAUUCUGCUACAACCAAUAUAGUGAUUACGACGACUUUCCGAUGCACCGGUGUUAGAGCUGACAUCA